rnacentral:rRNA from 1 species
CGAGUCGUUGAUUUCACACUGCCGAGAAAAGCCUCUAGAUAGAAAAUAGGUGCCCGUACCGCAAACCGACACAGGUAGUCAAGAUGAGAAUUCUAAGGUGAGCGAGCGAACUCUCGUUAAGGAACUCGGCAAAAUGACCCCGUAACUUCGGGAGAAGGGGUGCUCUUUAGGGUUAACGCCCAGAAGAGCCGCAGUGAAUAGGCCCAAGCGACUGUUUAUCAAAAACACAGGUCUCUGCUAAACCGUAAGGUGAUGUAUAGGGGCUGACGCCUGCCCGGUGCUGGAAGGUUAAGAGGAGUGGUUAGCUUCUGCGAAGCUACGAAUCGAAGCCCCAGUAAACGGCGGCCGUAACUAUAACGGUCCUAAGGUAGCGAAAUUCCUUGUCGGGUAAGUUCCGACCCGCACGAAAGGCGUAACGAUUUGGGCACUGUCUCAACGAGAGACUCGGUGAAAUCAUAGUACCUGUGAAGAUGCAGGUUACCCGCGACAGGACGGAAAGACCCCGUGGAGCUUUACUGUAGCCUGAUAUUGAAAUUCGGCACAGCUUGUACAGGAUAGGUAGGAGCCUUUGAAACGUGAGCGCUAGCUUACGUGGAGGCGCUGGUGGGAUACUACCCUAGCUGUGUUGGCUUUCUAACCCGCACCACUUAUCGUGGUGGGAGACAGUGUCAGGCGGGCAGUUUGACUGGGGCGGUCGCCUCCUAAAAGGUAACGGAGGCGCUCAAAGGUUCCCUCAGAAUGGUUGGAAAUCAUUCAUAGAGUGUAAAGGCAUAAGGGAGCUUGACUGCGAGACCUACAAGUCGAGCAGGGUCGAAAGACGGACUUAGUGAUCCGGUGGUUCCGCAUGGAAGGGCCAUCGCUCAACGGAUAAAAGCUACCCCGGGGAUAACAGGCUUAUCUCCCCCAAGAGUUCACAUCGACGGGGAGGUUUGGCACCUCGAUGUCGGCUCAUCGCAUCCUGGGGCUGUAGUCGGUCCCAAGGGUUGGGCUGUUCGCCCAUUAAAGCGGUACGCGAGCUGGGUUCAGAACGUCGUGAGACAGUUCGGUCCCUAUCCGUCGUGGGCGUAGGAAAUUUGAGAGGAGCUGUCCUUAGUACGAGAGGACCGGGAUGGACAUACCUCUGGUGUACCAGUUGUCGUGCCAACGGCAUAGCUGGGUAGCUAUGUGUGGACGGGAUAAGUGCUGAAAGCAUCUAAGCAUGAAGCCCCCCUCAAGAUGAGAUUUCCCAACUUCGGUUAUAAGAUCCCUCAAAGAUGAUGAGGUUAAUAGGUUCGAGGUGGAAGCAUGGUGACAUGUGGAGCUGACGAAUACUAAUCGAUCGAAGACUUAAUC